AGUGAACGCUGGCGGUAGGCCUAACACAUGCAAGUCGAACGGCAGCACAGUAAGAGCUUGCUCUUACGGGUGGCGAGUGGCGGACGGGUGCGGAAUACAUCGGAAUCUACUUUUUCGUGGGGGAUAACGUAGGGAAACUUACGCUAAUACCGCAUACGACCUACGGGUGAAAGCAGGGGAUCUUCGGACCUUGCGCGAUUGAAUGAGCCGAUGUCGGAUUAGCUAGUUGGCGGGGUAAAGGCCCACCAAGGCGACGAUCCGUAGCUGGUCUGAGAGGAUGAUCAGCCACACUGGAACUGAGACACGGUCCAGACUCCUACGGGAGGCAGCAGUGGGGAAUAUUGGACAAUGGGCGAAAGCCUGAUCCAGCCAUACCGCGUGGGUGAAGAAGGCCUUCGGGUUGUAAAGCCCUUUUGUUGGGAAAGAAAAGCAGCAGGUUAAUACCCCGCUGUUCUGACGGUACCCAAAGAAUAAGCACCGGCUAACUUCGUG
rnacentral:rRNA from 1 species